CCCUGACCCACUGAGGAUGCAUCCUGCUGUGGCCUCCUUGCAGUAGCCCCAAGACUGGCCACCCUGGCUCCUGCAGGCCAAGCCCCUGGGGCUCCUGGCUCCUCCUGCUGUGUCAGGCCCAGCCUCCUUCCAACCUGCUGAGGUGCUGACCAGCCCCAGUCAUUCCUCAGGACAGUCUCUGAGUUUGGACAGCGACCUCUAAACCCUGCCCAUGCUGUGAUUUUAUCCUGGCCAGUCUUUGCUUGCAUACCAUUGCCAUUUAAAUCAUUCUGCCGGUGGAAGCUGGGUUGAAGAAACCAAGGGUUCUGGGUCCCCCAGUGCUGACCCUGCACCCACAGCGAGGAAUGUAGAGGUUGGAACAAUCUUCACCUUUCACAGGCUUGGAGUUCACUUGCUCCAGAACAACUUUGCGACUUUUUGGGAGAAUGCCAGCAGUAAUCUCCAUGUGGCCCCGUGGAAAGAACCUGGGCUCUGCCAGGCUUUGGUGCCCUCUCUGCAGCUCUCAGGCUGAGUUUUGGUGAAAUGAUGCUUGUGGAACGCCUAGCAAAGCACCCCCGCUCACAGUGGCCCCACGAAGCAGUAGGUCCCCUAAACUACCUGCACUUGCCCAUCUGAGCCUCCCUCCCACUGCCCCUUCUCUGUGCCCCAGAGCCUGACCACAUCAACGAGUCCCUGUGCUCGGGUGCUGGCUGGUUUUGGCCAGUGGGGUUCCCUGGCAGGGGGCAUGUAGUGGCCACACUCUGGCUGAGUGUCUUGCCCAUCAGGAGGCCCUGGCCCGGCAGGAGGCCCUCCCCACUCAGCCCUCCUGCUGGGAUCUGGACUAUUUCCCUGCUUCCUCAUCC
rnacentral:lncRNA from 10 species